rnacentral:rRNA from 1 species
UACAGAGGUGGCAAGCGUCGCUCGGAAUUACUGGGCGUAAAGCGUGCGCAGGCGGUGAUGUAAGACAGGUGUGAAAUCCCCGGGCUUAACCUGGGAACUGCAUUUGUGACUGCAUCGCUGGAGUGCGGCAGAGGGGGAUGGAGUUCCGCGUGUAGCAGUGAAAUGCGUAGAUAUGCGGAGGAACACCGAUGGCGAAGGCAAUCCCCUGGGCCUGCACUGACGCUCAUGCACGAAAGCGUGGGGAGCAAACAGG